AAGAAAAAGAAGAAGAAGCCAGACCAGGAAAGUGAAAGGAAAUGGAUAUUGCUGCUGGAGACAAUGACUAAUUUAAGCAGAGUAGGAGAAAACCUUUUUUUUUCUUCCUUUGUGCAAGUUCCUUUUACACGACUUCAGAACAUUCUAUGACAACCCAGCGUGCAACUUGGCACUGUCAGAAGAGUCCUGGGAAAGAAAAGAAAUGCAAAAACGAGAAAACCAAUAUUGGACUGUACUGGACAGGACAUAUGUACUCUAUCAGAUUCUCCCUGGCCACAUGCAUAGAGUCUCUGUCUCUUCCCACCACUUUAAAGACAUUGAUAAAAUGCCAUACCACAGGGCAUGAGAUCUGGCAUCCCAAGUUGCCACCAGCAAACCUAGAAGUAUGAGUUCCAACUCUAUGGGUAUAUCUCAGUCAUUUAGCAUCUGCUCUAUCUUUGAGGCUGAGUUUCCAGAAGACCUGAUUCAACCAGAAGCAAAAGACAGUAGCCAAGAAGAUGGCACAGCAUAAGAAUUUUGGAAAUUGAUAAAAACAUCCCAGAGACGUCCAACAAUUAGUAACUAUGUGAACAGAUUCUGUAAUAUUGGGUCUAUUGGGCUCUGUGCGAAGGUAUUCCCUUUGGAAAUGACUGAAAUGGACAUUUUGAACCACUUUCAAUGAUACAAGUUUGGGGUUAACAUGGAGAUGGUGCUUCACAGAAUACACCACGUUUCAAUAAUUGUAUUCUUACCGAAUUGUUUAAAAUUGGUCAGCGACUAAUAUUAGGCCUCUAAGAACAAAAUUCAUUAGGUGUAUUUAGCCUGUUUUUGCGUUACUGCUACAAAAUCCAAUAGUUUAAAUAGCUAACUGAAUACUUUUGAUGUUAAAGAGCAAAAUUUCAUGAAGAUUUCAGAUCAAGAGAGCUACCACUGAGGAAAAACAAUGCAGAUUUGUGGUAAAGUCCCACGAAUUUGUUGAACUGCCAAGGCUUCUGAUCAUCACUGCUGAAGAACUUCUAAUGGUGACUUCCAACUGAGCUUUCUCAUUGCCAACUAUUGAGAAUGUCUGGAUUAUCCAGAUGUUGCAACACAGUUGUGUUUUUGGCUUCACCACUGCCUCUGAGCUGUGAUUCUCUUUUUUCUUAUUGUUGAUGUUCUUUGUUUUUAAUAUGAGGAAGAUUUGUGUAUUAUACUUCAGUUUCAGUUUCCUUAAUCACAGACUAGACAAAAGAAAAUUGGCUUGGUUUCCUGUUAGGAAACCACUUAGAAGCCAUUAUCAGAAUCGUAGACCGUCACUGUGAACUAUGUCCAGGUGUUGUCAUGAAAGUAUAACAUCCUAGAGUGGAAAAGCAAUCUUGGUUUGAGAGACUGUUUUACUCUUUUAUCUGGAAUAUUGUUUUAGCUGCUAUGGCUCCAACAGGAUGAACAUAGCAUUUUAUUUAAUCUAAAUAUCUUUCUUCUUUUUUUUCUAAGUUGCAAAAAGUCAAUGACCACAUUUCAUCUCUAGCCUCUCGUGAGGUUUAAAUUACACAAGGAAGAAAUAUUUACAACGUCAAAUGCUGAAGAUUGUUGGGAGUCAGAAGUGAUUGUUCAGAAUCAGUUUUAAUGACAAGUCAGAAAUUAGAUGAAGAGAUGAAAUGCUAAGCCCCCAAUGUGUUCUGAAAAGUUAAAUAACCAUCUUACAUCAGUUGGUACCUUUUUGAAAGUGUCCAGGAUGCAUAAGUGAUAAAUAAAUUAAUAAAAAGCACUUUUAAAAAUCAACAAAAGACAUGGCAGGAAAUGGAAGAAAAGAGAAGCAAGGGAUGCAUUUUAAUAGAUAUUAAGAACAAGCCAAAGUGCAGUAUUUGCUUUAGGGUUUUACUGUUCAUUGUGUCAAAGCUGUCACAGAUUUUAGAUAUUUUUUUUAAUGGGGAAAGUGAAUGAGGCAGGUAGAUAAGUAGAAAAAGUUGUGUGAAACUCAUUAGUACUGAAAAUAAAUAGUUGUACUUCUCUGUGA